rnacentral:lncRNA from 1 species
CAGCACUGCUCUUUAGACCCCGUGACUCAGGAACUCUUCAGAAGUGCCUAUAAGUCUAAUUAACACAAUAACUCACUUGGUUGCUCAAGACCAUAUCUGAAUAGCAGCUACCCUCGAGAUGGUAAGAUGACAGAUGUCUGGCUUUCUUGCAAUGUGGAGUAAGCAACUUUGAUCAGAAGGAGGCAUCAGGCAUGCCACAGAAGGGAAAGUACUCAGGAAGACUAAACACAGCCUCUACGACCAUAAGACGAUGGGUGCAAUAUACAAGGACCUUGUGAAGAAGCAAGGUAGGAUACAGGAGUGAAAACAGGACACUCUACAGUGUUUGUAGCCUAAUGGCCAGAAGGCAAUGUAGCCUAGAGCAUCUUUCCUCUUGGCCAAGUGGAUCUGCUGCAUGUGCACGUGUUAGAGUGACAUAUGUAGUACCUGAUGUCAUCACAUGGCCCUCGUGAGACCAUACAGCACCAUCUGGGAUCUAGGCCAGCUGUGAAUGACUCGAGGCACAGCUAACAGUUCUGGUUCUUUAGGGCUACUCCUGAAGUAACACUGAUAUUUCUAAGACUUGGAAGAACAGGAGGGGACCUGGGUCCCUGAUCCUCUCCUAGCCCAAGAUAUCUGUCACAUGAGAGCAGAAUUACAGCCUGAUGUCUUCUGCACAGCUACAUACAGAGGCUGGAAGCAGCUGGUGUGACCAUAUAAGACUGUAAAGGUAAGGUCUUGAAAUUCUUUACCAGAGUAAUGUUCUACUGGCUGACCUGCCUUCAGGGCCAGGGGGCAGGUGGUUGGCUUCUGUCUUAGGGUUUCUAUUUCUGUGAUAAAACACCACGAUCAGAAGCAACUUGGGGAGAAAUAAGUUUAUCUCAGCUUAUGCUUCCACAUCGAAGUCCAUCAUUCAAGGAAGUCAGUGCAGAAACUCAAGUGAACAGAAGCCAUGGAGGAAUGCUAUUUGCAGACUUUCUCUCCAUGGCUUGCUCAGCCUGCCUUCUUAUCUAAGACCACCAGUCCAUGGAUGGCCCUGGACACAGAGAGUUGGGCCCUCCCACAUCCAUCCCUAAGGAUGAGAAUUCCCUACAGAUUUGCCCACAGGCCAGUCUGAUGGGGACACUUUCUCAGUGAAGGUUUCCUCUUCCCAGAUGACUCUAGCUUGGAAUUUUCUAUCUGCUUAGGUGCUUUCUGUGGACGAGACUCAUGAUCGAAAGCUGCAUUAGUCAGAGUUUUCCACAGACAAAGAGUUAACAUCUGUGGGGCUAGGGGGUAAAGAGAAUGUGUGUUAAAGAACUAGCUCAUGGGACUGUGAAGGUGUGGCAAGUCCACAGUCUGCUGGGAUUGGGCCAGAGGGCUGAGGACUCUUGAAAGAAAGAGUGGCCAUCAAACCCAAAGGUCACUGGCAAGCAGAAUCCUUCCCAGUUUGGGAACUCAAUCUUUGUGAGAUUUAGCAUCUUACAAAUUUCCUACAGAAAUAGACUUGAACACAACAAAAAGGAGCAAGAUUCUUUAAAGGACAAACACAAAGCUUAUACUUGCUGGAGAGAUGAAAGGAGAGAGGACGGGGACAAGAGAGCCCUUCCUCUUAGAAGCUUCCUUUGUGUGCUUUUGAAAAGUGUUUGUUCCUUGAUUUUUUUUUUUUUAUGUCUGCAUAUGUAUGCCUGAGUACAUGUAUGUGUGCCAUAGGCCUACAGGAGCCCUCGGAGGUCAAAUGAGGGUGUUUGGUCCCCCAAAUUGAAGUUACAAGCAGUUGUGAGCAGCCAUACAGGGGCUGGGAACUGAACCCAGGUCCUCUGCAAGGACAAUCGUGUUCUUCACCACUGAGCCAUCUCUCCAGCCCCCUCCCUCUGUUCUUUGCCCAAGUGACCAAGUGACCAAGUGACCUUGACUCCUUUGCUCUUGAAUUCUUCAUGCUUGUUAUCUAUUGUUUGACCGGUACCAUGUAUAUUUGUCUGUCUGAUGUCUGAGAUUCAAUCGGAUCAGCCUUAUAGUAAGUGUUUGUAGGAUGAGACUGAAACUUUCUUCUUGAUGGGUUGCCUCCGUACUGAUUUCUCAAAGUUAUCCUGUCAUUGCAUGUUUAUAAGAUCAUAAAUUCCAGAGCAGGAUGACAUCUUGGGGUUCACCAACUUCAACUACCUGGGUACUGGGAAACUGAGUUCCAGGUAUAUUAAGUAUAGAUGAGCCUUAGCCCCAGUUCACAUAUUUCCAUCACUUUCUCUAUGGCAUUAUGAGAAGAAAGCAUGAGAAUAUCACAGCCAGGAUACCGAGCCCCCCUCACACAUACACACACAUACACAGACAGACAGACAGACAGACAGAGACAGAGAGGGCCAUGCCUCCUUCCACAUAUUGCACGUUCAUCACUGCGGGAAGUAAUGUCUCAGUUUGGUUGGUGGGAAACAAAAUGGCUCGUGCAGCAAAGCUGGCCCUAGUGAGGGAUCCGCAGAAGAGGAGGCUGGGGUUUCCUGGAUCAUCGUCAGGCGCUAUCCCUAAAGAGCUACCAUGGGGUUAGUAAGCCUUUCCACAGAGCCAAUUUUGGAUGGUGGUUCUGAUUGCUGGAUAAAUCACAGCAGGAAAUUGAAAUGAGUGUGUGAAGGGCACAGGCAGGGUACAUUCCAGGGCAGUGAACAGCCCUGUCUACCUGAGAGACAUCAUUGCAUCAGAGCAGAGAGGACCAUGCACAAUGUCCAGGGAAAUCAGGAGGGACAAGGCAAAAGAGAAGAGUAUAUAUGAGAUACAUAAAUCAAAAUGAUAAAGUGACAUAAGAGGAUUGCUGAAUUAAAAGAAAGGAAGGAAGUGGUAGCUGAAGACAAAACUAAAUGGGACACAAGACUGCAAGAAGAACAAAGCCUCAGAACUAUAUUUACCUCUCGGCAGCUCUUGGCUUGGCAAGUUAUUCAGAGUCUCAUUUUCAUGCCAGGUUACACUGACAUGACCAUGAAGCACUCCUGUUCUUUCUCCUUGUCAGCUAAUGCACAGAGAAUGCAAAUGUCAUUAAAAAAAAAAAAAAACGGGGGCUAGAGAGGUGGCUCAGCCAGCGGUUGAGAGCACUGACUGCUCUUCCGAAGGUCCUGAGUUCAAAUCCCAGCAACCACAUGGUGGCUCACAACCAUCCAUAAUGAGAUCUGAUGCUCUCUUCUGGGGUGUCUGAAGACAGCUACAGUGUACUUACAUAUAAUCAAUCAAUCAAUCAAUCUUUGGGCCACUGGAGUGACCAGGGUUGGAGCAAGUGGGGCCAGAGCAAGAAGAAAAAGUGUCUGAAGACAGCUACAGUGUAUUUACAUAUAAUAAAUAAAUACAUCUUUUUUAAAAAAACAAUCAAGGGACAACACUCAUCGCAGUCAGUAAACCUGUCACUUAAUCAUGUAUAACUUAUUCAUUGAUUCCAAACAUGUGGUGAGCAUUUGUGGUGGUUUGCGUAUGCUUGGCCCAUGAAAAGAGGCACUAUUAGGAGGCAUGGCCUUGUUGGAGGAGGUGUGUCACUGUGUAGGCGGUGACAUCACCUAGUGCUCCAGUUCCUCCCAGUGUGGAAGAGAGACCAUCCUCCUGGCUGCCUAUAGAACAGACUCCUUCUGCCUGCCUUUGGAUCAAGAUGUAGAACUCUCAGCUCCUCCAGCAACCUGUCUGUUUGCAAGCCACCAAGCUGGAACUGAAAGCCAGCCCCAAUUAAAUGUUUCCUAUAUAAGAGUUGCCUCAGUCAUAGUGUCUCUUCACAGCAAUGGAAACACUAACUGAGACAGCAUUCAAUAUGUACCAGGCACUGUGCUAAUAUACAAUAUUGGACAGAAUUGCUGCAGCCCCUAUUCUUGAAGUGCUAACACUUUAACAAGGGAAAAAUAUGAUAUUCUACAUAGCCACAUAAAAGUUUUGGGUAUCAGCCAUGCUAUAACUUGGGUAUCAUACUAGACCCAGCUGCAUUUGGUAGACAACCUAAAU